rnacentral:tRNA from 1 species
GCCCUCAUAGCUCAGGGGAUAGAGCGUCUGCCUCCGGAGCAGAAGGUCGUAGGUUCGAUUCCUACUGAGGGCA